GGGUCCGGACACACUGAGGAUUGACAGGCAAAAGAUACAAGUUUUCUUUGUGAGAGCUUGCAUUGUAAAAUAUGCGAGUCCUUUCAUGAUUAUGUGAUAGGUGGUGCAUGGCCGUUCUUAGUUCGUGGAGUGAUCUGUCUGCUUAAUUGCGUUUCACAACGAUUUAAAAUGCUAUGUUUUCUGUGUUUGCUGUUCGGUUUUAGCUCUUACGGGAGUUUUUAACUUUGAACGCACACGGCGUAGCUUAAAACAAUCGGAAAGCAACGAACGUGACCGCAACCUCUUGUUGCCUUUAUUUUUAAAAGCGUAGAAAAUUUUAUAUUUUCUUACGCUUGAAAAAGGCUUUAAAACUAGAGGGACCGCUGUUCUAUUCUCUUAAACCAGAGGAAGAUUGCAGCAAUAACAGGUCUGUGAUGCCCUCAGAUGUUCCGGGCUGCACACGUGCUACAAUGAUUGUUGCAGUGAGCAUCUAUUUUCAAACGCUACCGUUGCGGAUUUUGUGAGAAGGGGGGCUUGUUUUAAAGCUUUCGGGUGGAGAAGCGGGUUCUUUUUUUUCACAAUUUAUUCCGCGUUACGUGUCAGCUAAACCUGCUUCGAAAGCAAGUAGGU
rnacentral:rRNA from 1 species